UGCUAUGGACAUUUCUCUGUCGUGCAGAGCACUGUCUGCAAUGCGGGGUCUUUGAAGGAUGGGCAGGUGGCCCAAGUAUGUGUUUGCAUGUGUAGAAGAGGGGACACUCUACAAACUUGUUUUGUAAAAACUUUCUCAGAUGAUUGAAGUCUUGAGAGAACAACAAACAGCGGUCCUCUGAUUUUGAUUUGGUUGUGCCAGUCUGCCUUACCUGUGGUGAAACCUCCCUGACCACAUGAAGAAAGAGUCAUCUGGAUUCAAA